GGAGGCGUCGCUCAGUGGUCUAGAGCACCGCCUUGGAAAGGCGGCAUGCUGAAAGGCAUCGCGAGUUCGAAUCCCGCCGCCUCCG
rnacentral:tRNA from 1 species